UACGGGGGGGGCAAGCGUUGUUCGGAAUUACUGGGCGUAAAGGGCUCGUAGGCGGCCAACUAAGUCAGACGUGAAAUCCCUCGGCUUAACCGGGGAACUGCGUCUGAUACUGGAUGGCUUGAGUUCGGGAGAGGGAUGUGGAAUUCCAGGUGUAGCGGUGAAAUGCGUAGAUAUCUGGAGGAACACCGGUGGCGAAGGCGGGUCUCUGGGCAGUAACUGACGCUGAGGAGCGAAAGCGUGGGGAGCGAACAGG
rnacentral:rRNA from 1 species